UACGUAGGUGGCAAGCGUUGUCCGGAUUUACUGGGCGUAAAGAGCGCGCAGGCGGUCGUACAAGUCGCGUGUGAAAGCCCCCGGCUCAACUGGGGAGGGUCACGCGAUACUGUUCGACUCGAAGGCAGGAGAGGGAAGCGGAAUUCCUGGUGUAGCGGUGGAAUGCGCAGAUAUCAGGAGGAACACCGGUGGCGAAGGCGGGUCUCUGGGCAGUAACUGACGCUGAGGAGCGAAAGCGUGGGGAGCGAACAGG
rnacentral:rRNA from 1 species